GGUUUCCGUAGGUGAACCUGCGGAAGGAUCAUUGUCGAAAUCGAACGGAAGAACGACCCGYGAAUCGUCAUUGCGUACUAGACAGAGCCCGUGAGCACCUAACGCUCAUGGGACUCGCGUCGCGUCGGCGUGGGUGUACUCGAGACCAGCGUCGUACCGGCGGACAAACAACGUCAGCACGGAUCGUGCCAAGGAGCUGCAUGGAGAGAAUCGUCGUCCCACGCCUUUGAUAGUCCUCGAUGCGGGACGGGGGGCGGGGGAUGUACGCAAUCUCUACUAAAGUCUAAACGACUCUCGGCAACGGAUAUCUCGGCUCUUGCAUCGAUGAAGAACGUAGCGAAAUGCGAUACUUGGUGUGAAUUGCAGAAUCCCGCGAACCAUCAAUUCUUUGAACGCAAGUUGCGCCCGAAGCCAUUCGGCCGAGGGCACGCCUGCCUGGGUGUCGUGAAUCCCCUUGCCCCUAGGCACCCGCAUGAGCAUUGGCGGGGAUAUAUGCUCGGGCGCAGAAUAUGGUCUCCCGUGGGAUCGGCAUGCACGGCAUGUCGAGGUGCGGUUGGCCGAAAAUCGAGCAAUGGCUGUGACGGGCACCACGGCGUUCGGUGGAUCGAAUGAGAUUGGCUGCGCCGUGGGCUCGGCAU
rnacentral:rRNA from 1 species